rnacentral:rRNA from 1 species
UGGGGAAUUUUGGACAAUGGGGGAAACCCUGAUCCAGCCAUCCCGCGUGUGCGAUGAAGGCCUUCGGGUUGUAAAGCACUUUUGGCAGGAAAGAAACGUCAUGGGUUAAUACCCCGUGAAACUGACGGUACCUGCAGAAUAAGCACCGGCUAACUACGUGCCAGCAGCCGCGGUAAUACGUAGGGUGCAAGCGUUAAUCGGAAUUACUGGGCGUAAAGCGUGCGCAGGCGGUUCGGAAAGAAAGAUGUGAAAUCCCAGAGCUCAACUUUGGAACGGCAUUUUUAACUACCGGGCUAGAGUGUGUCAGAGGGAGGUGGAAUUCGGCGUGUAGCAGUGAUAUGCGUAGAUAUGCGGAGGAACGCCGGUGGCGAAGGCAGCCUCCUGGGAUAACACUGACGCUCAUGCACGAGGGCGUGGGGAGCAAACAGG